CUGUUUUUUACCAUUUUUUCCUGUUGCCUCUGAACCCUUCCCCAUGUUUGAGCCUGAAGAAGUGUUGAUGACGGAGGGUGUAGGAGAAGCUCCGUGUGCACAGGAGCUCACCGUGUUUACUGAUCAAUCCAGGCUACCUGAUAGGCAAAUCUGGGUCUCUCAGACAUAUUCGCUCACUGCAGAGGGGAUGUUCCAUGUGGGAACCCUGCUCCCAAGCCCUGCAGCCUGUGGGCACGUCAGUGUAUGCAUGGCUAACAUAUGCCUGGGCAGCCUGGCAGCAACACUGGCCCAGGAGGCUGAAUUCAACCAUAUGUACUGGAACAUGGCUGCAAUAUGCUUUCUCAGCAGCUCUGUGGAAGCAGCUUCAACCCUUCUCGUAUUAGAGGCGCAGGCUAGCUGGCAGCCGCACACCGAGGGCUGUGUUUGGCAAAGAUAUGUAUGUGCGCUUAUUGAAGUGAGAUCCACACUCACACGGUUAGCCUUUUAAAGUGCACACUUUGGUGGCCU
rnacentral:lncRNA from 1 species